rnacentral:rRNA from 1 species
GACGAACGCUGGCGGCGUGCCUAAUACAUGCAAGUUGAGCGCUGAAGGUUGGUACUUGUACCAACUGGAUGAGCAGCGAACGGGUGAGUAACGCGUGGGGAAUCUGCCUUUGAGCGGGGGAUAACAUUUGGAAACGAAUGCUAAUACCGCAUAAAAACUUUAAACACAAGUUUUAAGUUUGAAAGAUGCAAUUGCAUCACUCAAAGAUGAUCCCGCGUUGUAUUAGCUAGUUGGUGAGGUAAAGGCUCACCAAGGCGAUGAUACAUAGCCGACCUGAGAGGGUGAUCGGCCACAGUGGGACUGAGACACGGCCCAAACUCCUACGGGAGGCAGCAGUAGGGAAUCUUCGGCAAUGGACGAAAGUCUGACCGAGCAACGCCGCGUGAGUGAAGAAGGUUUUCGGAUCGUAAAACUCGGUUGGUAGAGAAGAACGUUGGUGAGAGUGGAAAGCUCAUCAAGUGACGGUAACUACCCAGAAAGGGACGGCUAACUACGUG